CGCCCACUAGCUAGCCCCCCAAACCAAAAACAACAUACCAAUAUUAAUACCCCCAAAUGCACUAGCACCUGCAAAAACAAACCAUUUUUCCCCCUUAGUAUGGGCGACAGAAAAGGGACUGUGGCGCAAUAGAGAAAGUACCGCAAGGGAACGCUGAAAGAGAAAUGAAACAACUCAGUAAAGCCUUAAAAAGCAGAGAUUUAAGCUCGUACCUUUUGCAUCAUGAUUUAGCCAGUAAUACCCAAGCAAAGAGCCCUUUAGUUUGGUUCCCCGAAACUAAGUGAGCUACUCCAAGACAGCCUAUUAAUAGGGCCAACCCGUCCCUGUGGCAAAAGGGUGGGAAGAGCUUUGAGUAGAGGUGACAGACCUACCGAACUUAGUUAUAGCUGGUUGCCUGAGAAUUGAAUAGAAGUUCAGCCUCUCGGCUUCUCCCCUCACCUCCGUCCGACCCCUUCUGACACCCUGAGAAACCGCGAGAGUUAUUCAAAGGGGGUACAGCCCCUUUGAAACAAGAUACAACUUUACCAGGAGGGUAAAGAUCAUAAUAACCUAAAGGUAAAAUGUUCUGGUGGGCCUAAAAGCAGCCACCCCUAUAGAAAGCGUUAAAGCUCAGACAUACCCCUUAUCCUUUUAUACUGAUAAUCAAAUCUUAACCCCCUAACCCUACCAGGCCAUCCCAUGCAAACAUGGGAGCGACUAUGCUAAUAUGAGUAAUAAGAGAGCCUUAGCCUCUCUCCUUGCACGCGUGUAAAUCGGAAUGGACCCCCCACCGAAUCUUAACGGCCCCAAACAAAGAGGGAACUGAACAGCAGACCAAACAACCAGAAAACCAUCCAAUACAACAACCGUUAACCCCACACUGGUGUGCCCCUAAGGAAAGACUAAAAGAAAAAGAAGGAACUCGGCAAACACAUAAAGCCUCGCCUGUUUACCAAAAACAUCGCCUCUUGCAAAGCUGAAGAAUAAGAGGUCCCGCCUGCCCUGUGACUAUAUGUUUAACGGCCGCGGUAUUUUGACCGUGCGAAGGUAGCGCAAUCACUUGUCUUUUAAAUGGAGACCUGUAUGAAUGGCAUAACGAGGGCUUAGCUGUCUCCUUUUUCAAGUCAAUGAAAUUGAUCUCCCCGUGCAGAAGCGGGGAUAAUACCAUAAGACGAGAAGACCCUAUGGAGCUUUAGACACCAAGGCAGAUCAUGUUAAACACCCCUAUAUAAAGGACUAAACCAGAUGAGCCCUGCCCUAAUGUCUUUGGUUGGGGCGACCGCGGGGAAACAAAAAACCCCCACGUGGAAUGGGAACACUUCCUCCCACAACUAAGAGCUCCCGCUCUAAUGACCAGAAUUUCUGACCAAUCAGAUCCGGCAACGCCGAUCAACGGACCGAGUUACCCUAGGGAUAACAGCGCAAUCCCCUUUUAGAGCCCAUAUCGACAAGGGGGUUUACGACCUCGAUGUUGGAUCAGGACAUCCUAAUGGUGCAGCCGAUAUUAAGGGUNNNUUGUCAACGAUUAAA
rnacentral:rRNA from 1 species